rnacentral:rRNA from 1 species
CCUACGGGAGGCAGCAGUGGGGAAUAUUGCGCAAUGGGCGCAAGCCUGACGCAGCGACGCCGCGUGAGGGAUGAAGGUCUUCGGAUCGUAAACCUCUGUCAGCAGGGAAGAACGGUCACUGUGCUAAUCAGCAGUGAAUUGACGGUACCUGCAAAGGCAGCACCGGCUAACUCCGUGCCAGCAGCCGCGGUAAUACGGAGGGUGCGAGCGUUAAUCGGACUUACUGGGCGUAAAGCGCUCGUAGGCGGUAUGUCAAGUCAAGUGGGAAAUCCCCGCGCUCAACGUGGGAACUGCCGUUGAAACGGGCAAACUGGAGUGUGUGAGAGGAUAGUGGAAUUCCAGGUGUAGGAGUGAAAUCCGUAGAUAUCUGGAGGAACAUCAGUGGCGAAGGCGACUAUCUGGCACAUAACUGACGCUGAGGAGCGAAAGCGUGGGUAGCAAACAGGAUUAGAUACCCGGGUAGUC